AAAAGAUAAUUGUGGGUCUGUCAGACAACCCCAGGAUCGCCCCAGCCGGAUGGGAACCACCAGCUGAGAACGAUCCCCUACCGUGAGAGAACUCGAGAGAUCCCCACCGUUAAUCACGCUCCGAUCCUGAGGUCCUGAAUCAUCAAUCAGACUUUUGUGCCUGUCUCGUUAGAGUUCUAAGAGACAGUUGUACGAACCUAUAGAACAGAUCCUGUUCAAGUAAGGUCGUGCUUUGUUCUCCCGUUGGGGUUCUAAUGUACCUUGAAGAUAUCUUGGGAAUUGUGAUGUGGGACUAAGUGUCGUCGUUGUGGAUCCACUCGGCGUGUCAUCCGACGUCGUUGUCGCGAGUCCAGAUUCGUGAUUGGUGAGUGGUGCUGUGGACUGUAUCAAAAAAUGGUGCCAAUGGAUCCCGAUCGAUGGAUUUUUGUUUUUGUUUUUCGAGGUUGCUGCUUUUGAUAUUUCUCAGAUGUUUUUAUUCAUCAUAAUUCUUGAGAUAUGUUUCUAAAACACCACAUUACACCAUAUUGAUUGGUUGACAUGAUGAAUCAGUUCAUCAAUUUAGAUCGAUCACUACUGAACUAUGGAUCACUCUAAUUCUCACAUGUAACAUUUAUAGUGAUAUUUAUAAUAUAUUUGAAUAGAUUUAUAAUUUUUUUAUUGAAAAACAUUGUGAGUGAAGCAAAUGAAUACAAAACCUUAUCUAAAUCAGCUCAUACAUAAAAAUCAAUUUUUAAAUAAUUUUAAUUGUUCAUAAAUAAGAGCAACCAACUUCUAUAUCAAUUAUUUUAGUAUUUUUAACUAUGUUUACAAUAUUUUUAUCACAACUACUUUUAGCACUUCCAUCAAAACACUAUAAGCUCGCUUAUUUAGAAACACGACUACUUAAAAAAUUGAAUAUUUGAUCAAAAUGUUAUCUCUAUCUAUUCGGUUGACACUCGACUAAUAUAUCAGUUCUACUUAACUGACAUUCCAAGCUUAAGCGAUCAAUACAUCAUGCGGGGCUCAUGUAAGACUAAUAAUAUUGUACCGAAAAGAGAUUCAUACAUUUGCAUGAGAUUGAUCACAUAACGUUAAUGAUAAAUUGUUACUCUAUAUCUUUAGAUUGAUUUCAUAAUCUCAUUAAUGACCAAAUAAUAAUUCCUAUUUAACUUUGACCUCAACCCAAUAGUCACAUAUGACAUAAUAAAAGACUCAAAUAUAUUUAUAUCAUUUUGUCACGAGAUGAAUAACCAAAAUUUAUCAUAACAAUAAUAAUAUUAAUUUAAACAUAUAUAAAGUUUAAUCAUAUAUAUAACUAUAUAAUAUUAUUUUAACACAUAGGCUUUGUCAACUUUUACUUAUAUUCCAUUGACUUGUCACCUAACUGCAUCUUUACACGCAUAUUCUCUGGGAGACUUGGUUUAGGCUUCAACACCUGCAUUUAGAGUCGAAUGAUUAAGUAGAACUUGACUUUGCGCUUAAAAGCAAGUAAGGUAGUAUGCUGAUCUGACAUUCUUGGAAACUUGAUAGCUACUUAGUUCUUAUCUUAUAACAUCCUAUAUUUACUUUCAUUCAUAUCCUAUGCUGCUACCUUUUUAUUUAUCAUUGAUAUUAAAUAUAACACAUCAAUAAAGUGUACAAAUUUGAAUAUCCUAAAUUGCUAAAUAAAAUAAUAAAGUUUUCCUUAUGCAAAUUGAUAUUUAACAUCUAUACAUAGAUUAUACAAAUUAAUGUUUAACAUCUACACAUAGAUUAAUAUUUUUAGUAUAACAUUUUUAUUUUUUUAUUUAAUUAUCUAUUACUCCAUCAAUAUUGUUUACAUAUUGUUUAAACUUCAAACUUAUUUUAGACAAUCUUAUUUUAGACAUAAUCAAAACUAAUUCAAACCCGGAGAAUCACUUAUAAUCAUCAUGUAUAUAUUUAUUGUCAUGAUAUAACUUCAUAUUUAACUACACUAGUAUGGCUUAUUAAGUUGAAUGAUUUUUUUUUGUAAAAUAUCUACGUAGGUGCUGAUGCUUUUAUAUAUUUUGUUAGCAUAAAAAUUGUUAAAUUCUAUAUGUAAUACAGAAAAAAAAAUCUUUUAUGCUAGGAUUGAAAUCAAAUAAUAUUAGAUUGGUUUUACGUACCUUUUGAUGUCAUAUGAAAAUGAUCUCUAUAUGAUAUUUAAAGACAUCGUCUUUGGAUCCAAAACUAGAUUCUCCUUCUCCUCUUUUUUUAUCCUUUUACAGGACCACUUAGAUUGAUGAUUCAAAGAGGUUGAGAAAGAAACUGUAAUCUCUCAACUACGUCCUCUAUUAGAUGUGUUCUUUAGUCUUUAGAUGUCUUAUCUAUUUAUAGGAGAGAGCAGAGUGUCUAGGAUAAGUUAUUAGGAGAGUUCCUCACAUCCCUGAAUCUUACUUUGGACUUCUUUUCUAUUGGCUAAUAUCUAUCAUUAUAAUUUAAUUAGUUCUAUUAUAUAUUUUAUUUAAUUAUAAAGGGUCACAUAAUCUAAUAUUCUCCUACUUGACCAAAUAAUUGAUAAGAUAUAAAAUAUAUUCAAAAUCAAAAUAAAUAAAAUAAAAUUUAUUUGAAAAUAAUUUUAUAUAAUUGGAUUCUAAAAUUUUUUUGAAAAGUAUUUUAUACAUGACCAUGAAUUUUAAAAACAAGCCAAUAAACAUAAUAAUACUACAUUAAAUUCAACUAUCAAUGCGCGUCAUAACGGUUGUAUAUCAUCAAUGUCAUACUCUCUUCUAUAUACCACAAUAUUGUUAGUAUUUCCUAAUAUAAUUUAUAAUGACCUUUGUAAUUUAUCUUGUCAAUAUAGUCUUGUUAUUACAUUCAACUAUAAUAUGCAUAAAUAUAAAUAUAAAUAGGAUAACAAAAAUAAAUAACUUUAAUUAUGCAAAAGAAAUAGCAAUAAUAGCAUCCAUCUAAACAUGCAUUACCAUAUCUUUUAUGGCUUACUCACAAGCCUCAUUCUAGGAACAUGAUCUUUAAAUAUUUUACAUUGUAAAGCUUUAGUAAAUGGAUCAGCAAUCAUUAUGGUGCUGCUUAUAUUCUUAAUUAACACUUACUGUUUCUCGACUCUUUUUCUAACCACAAAGUACUUUAUCUCGAUGUGCUUGGAACCACUAGAGUAUUUGUCAUUCUUAAAGAAAAAAAUCUGCUACGACAUUAUUAUAAAAUAUCAUCAACGGUCUUGUAAUUGAGUCAACCACACCAGUCCUAAGAUAAAAUUUCGCAGCCAUAAAGCUUGAUUUGUAGACUCAAAGCAUGCCACAAAUUCAGCUUCCAUUAUUGAUGAUACAAUAAGUGAUUGCUUUAUAUUUUUUUAAAAAAAUUGCCCCACCAGCUAACAUGAAUACAAAUCCUGAAGUGGAUUUCUUGUUGUCGAAGUAAUUUACAAAAUCAACAUUUUAAAUAUUUAAUCACUUCAAGUUGAUCUGAUCUCCUAUAUGCGAGCAUAUAAUCUUUCGUCUCAUAUAGAUAUCUCAUUACUUUCUUUCUAGCCUUCCAAUAUUUUAUUCCUAAGUUGCUUUGAUAUUUACACCUAUAAAGAAUAUUUUUUUUUAUUUGAUUCAUUUCUAAGUCAUUUCUUGGGCACUGAUUUUGAUUGAAUUUUUCAUCUCUAGUAAUAAGUAUAUUAUUGGUUGAACAAAGUAGUAUAUUAAAUCUCUCGAAUAUAUGAUUAGUAUAUACUUUCUGAGACAUUCCUAAUAAUCAUUGAGAUCUACACAUGAAUAUCUCAAUGCCAAUAACAUAGGUUGCCUCAUUCAUAUCAGACAUCUUAAAGUUUUUUCUGAGAAAUAUCUUGGUUUCGUGCAAUAAACCAAGAUCACUAUUGGUAAAUAAAAUAUCAUCCACAUAAGACUAAUAUAAUAAAUUUGUUCUAACUUACCUUCAAAUAUAUGCACUGAUAAACAAUGUUUUUCUUAAAUCUAAAGAAAAUAAUGGUAUCAUGAAACUUUAUAUAUUAUUGUCUAAAAGCAUGUUUAAAGUCAUACAUGAAUUUCUUAAGUUUACAAACCCAACUUUCUUUUCCCUUUUGUAUGAAUCUUUCAAGUUUUUCCAUAUAUAUUUCCUCAUCAAAAUCCCCAUUCAAAAAUAUUAUUUCACAUCCAUUUGAUGUAACUUAAGAUCAUAAUGAUCUACUAAUACAAUGAUGAUUCUCAACGAGUUCUUUCUAGAAACUAGAAAAAAAGUCUCAUUAUAGUCGAUGUCUUCUUUUUUAGAAAAACCUUUGGUCACAACUCUGGCUUUAUAUCAUUCGAUAUUGUCCACUAAGUCACGGUUUAAUAACUGACUCUUUUAUAAUUAUUAAAAAAAUUAAUGAGUUCUCAAACACCAUUAUGGUCGAUUGAUUUUAUUUUAUUUUAUUUUUUAUUACAUCAUACUAUUCUUCAGAAUUAUUACUUUCUAUGGCUUGUGAAAUGAUAAGGGGUCUCAUUUUAUUCCUAUAUCAUAAUUUGAUUUUUAUAAAUAUACCAUAUAAUCAUCAAAAAUGACAUAUUUUUUUUCUUUUGAAAUCUUCUCAAAACUACCAAUUGUAAUUAUUCUACAAAAUCAUCAACGACGAUAGCAACAUCAUGUGAGAGUUUAUCGAUAAUAUUUUAUUGUUCACCCUCAUCAAUUCUUUCAUUGAUUUGAGGAACAAUAAUUUUUUGAAUAUGAGAUGAUAUAGGAGAAUUAAUUUGAAUCUUCUCAUUGUUCUAGGAAUCUUACGUUACCAGAUUCUAUUAUUCUGAUAGUAGGAACGGUGAUUACAAGAAUGCAUUCCAAAUGUAAGAUUGGAAAGAAUGUUAAGAGAAAAUUAACAUUUCCAAUUUGUAAUGAUGAGGUUUUCCCAUCUGCACAAGCACUCAGGUUAAGUGCUUCGCCCACGUUUACUUUAAACAUUGCCUGUAUACCAAUCAUGAAACCAAGGGAAUUUUUAAUUGAAUGAUUGGGAGAAGUAGCACUUGCCUGAUUGGGACCAGAUGUGGGCUAUAUAUAUAUAUAUAAAAGCUUCUUCGAGCUUUAUGGUACAAUGGAGAUGGAAGGAAUGUUCUGAUGCACUGACUGUUUGUUAAGGAGAGAAACAACAGAUGUAAUGUUUCUGGGCACAAUAUUUAUUAUUUUAAAUAAUGGGAUGAUACAACCCAACUAUUAUUAAAAAAGCAAAAAUUAUAUAUCCAUCUGAACUACAUGGAUAUAUACAAAUAUAAUUAUAUUUAUGUUUAGCAUUAGAUAUAUAUGUCUCAUUUUAACAACAAUUGAAGAUAGAUAGCAUGUCCAAUUAGCAAAAUAUGCACUUUGGCCAAGUUUUUGAUCCAUUCAAGUCCAAAAAUGUGUGUGGGUCUGUCAGACAACCCCAGGAUCGCCCCAGCCGAUGGGCACCACCAGCUGAGAACGAUCCCCUACCGUGAGAGACCUCGAGAGAUCCCCACCGUUAAUCACGCUCCGAUCCUGAGGUCCUAAUUCAUCAACCAGACUUUUGUGCCAGUCUCGUUAGAGUUCUAAAAGACAGUUGUACGAACCUUUAGAACAGAUCCUGUUCAAGUAAGGUCAUGCUCUGUUCUCCCGUUAGGGUUAUAAUAUAGCUUGAAGAUGUCUUCAGACACUGUGAUGUGGGACUAAGUGUUGUCGUUGCGGGUCCACUCGGCGAGUCAUUCGACAUUGUAAUAUAGUUUUUGAUACAUGAAAGUCCAAAAAAAGUGUGUGGGUCUGUCAGACAACCCCAGGAUCGCCCCAGCCGAUGCGGCAACAACAGCUGAGAACGAUCCCCUACUGUGAGAGACCUCAAGAGAUUCCCACCGUUAAUCACGCUCCGAUCCCGAGGUCCUGAAUCAUCAACCAGACUUUGGUGCCUAUCUCGUUAGAGUUCUAAGAGACAGUUGUACGAACCUAUAGAACAGAUCCUGUUCAAGUAAGGUCGUG
rnacentral:lncRNA from 1 species